rnacentral:tRNA from 1 species
AGCAGCGUGGCUUAGUGGAAAGACCAUGGUCUUGGGAGUCAGAGGACCUGGAUUCUAAUCCCAGCUCUGCCA